UCAUUCCACGAGUUCCGUGCCGCAGCUAACGCAUUAAGCGCCCCGCCUGGGGAGUACGGCCGCAAGGCUAAAACUCAAAGGAAUUGACGGGGGCCCGCACAAGCGGCGGAGCAUGUUGCUUAAUUCGAUGCAACGCGAAGAACCUUACCUAGGCUUGACAUGCACGGAAAUCUCCCAGAGAUGGGGGGUCCGUAAGGGCCGUGCACAGGUGGUGCAUGGUUGUCGUCAGCUCGUGUCGUGAGAUGUUGGGUUAAGUCCCGCAACGAGCGCAACCCUCGUUCUAUGUUGCCAGCACGUAAUGGUGGGGACUCAUAGGAGACUGCCGGGGUCAACUCGGAGGAAGGUGGGGAUGACGUCAAAUCAUCAUGCCCCUUAUGUCUAGGGCUGCAAACAUGCUACAAUGGCCGGUACAAAGGGCUGCGAUACCGCGAGGUGGAGCGAAUCCCAAAAAGCCGGUCUCAGUUCGGAUUGGGGUCUGCAACUCGACCCCAUGAAGUUGGAGUCGCUAGUAAUCGCAGAUCAGCAACGCUGCGGUGAAUACGUUCCCGGGCCUUGUACACACCGCCCGUCACGUCACGAAAGUCGGUAACGCCCGAAGC
rnacentral:rRNA from 1 species